AGUGAACGCUGGCGGUAGGCCUAACACAUGCAAGUCGAACGGCAGCACAGUAAGAGCUUGCUCUUACGGGUGGCGAGUGGCGGACGGGUGAGGAAUACAUCGGAAUCUACUUUUUCGUGGGGGAUAACGUAGGGAAACUUACGCUAAUACCGCAUACGACCUACGGGUGAAAGCAGGGGAUCUUCGGACCUUGCGCGAUUGAAUGAGCCGAUGUCGGAUUAGCUAGUUGGCGGGGUAAAGGCCCACCAAGGCGACGAUCCGUAGCUGGUCUGAGAGGAUGAUCAGCCACACUGGAGCUGCGACACGGUCCAGACUCCUACGGGAGGCAGCAGUGGGGAAUAUUGGACAAUGGGCGCAAGCCUGAUCCAGCCAUACCGCGUGGGUGAAGAAGGCCUUCGGGUUGUAAAGCCCUUUUGUUGGGAAAGAAAAGCAGCAGGUUAAUACCCCGCUGUUCUGACGGUACCCAAAGAAUAAGCACCGGCUAACUUCGUG
rnacentral:rRNA from 1 species